rnacentral:rRNA from 1 species
GAUGAACGCUGGCGGCGUGCCUAAUACAUGCAAGUCGAGCGAACAGACGAGGAGCUUGCUCCUCUGACGUUAGCGGCGGACGGGUGAGUAACACGUGGAUAACCUACCUAUAAGACUGGGAUAACUUCGGGAAACCGGAGCUAAUACCGGAUAAUAUAUUGAACCGCAUGGUUCAAUAGUGAAAGACGGUUUUGCUGUCACUUAUAGAUGGAUCCGCGCCGCAUUAGCUAGUUGGUAAGGUAACGGCUUACCAAGGCAACGAUGCGUAGCCGACCUGAGAGGGUGAUCGGCCACACUGGAACUGAGACACGGCCCAGACUCCUACGGGAGGCAGCAGUAGGGAAUCUUCCGCAAUGGGCGAAAGCCUGACGGAGCAACGCCGCGCGAGUGAUGAAGGUCUUCGGAUCGUAAAACUCUGUUAUUAGGGAAGAACAAAUGUGUAAGUAACUAUGCACGUCUUGACGGUACCUAAUCAGAAAGCCACGGCUAACUACGUG